UCCGCUCUUUGAGGGAGAGUGCGCUGGUAAAAGGGAGGGAGGGAAUGAGGCAAACAAGAAACAUGUAAUCACCCAAACAACCGUUUUAGUCCUUUCCCCCUGGAUUUGUGUCGUAAGAUAGCCUACAGUAUCUACUUCAAAGGAUACACAGGGGGCCGCGAGACUGUUACAAUGGGACUUGAAGCUUUUGGGAGAAUUGGCACCUGAAUCGGAGAGAGGUUUGUGCAGAGCGUCCCCAUCAAUCACGACAACUGUGUUUCCAAGGUGAUGUUGUUGAGAUUGUAAAUAAGAAGAGGCAGACGUCACAGAACCUGAAGGAUAUGGGACACAGACAGCAAACGUAUAAUUACAGCUGUAUCGUACGAAGUGAGUUCCUUCCAACCAUACCUUUCAUUGUCACCUACCACAGCAGUUUGUAUUUUCGUCUUCCAUUUUCUUUUACGUAUACAUAAAAGCAGAUUUCAUUGGCUGUUUGCUGAAAUCUAUGAAAACACAAUUUCAAUGAGGUCCACAAUUUUAUUUUAUGUAUUUGAUUUUUUUUAAAGUAAGUGUCUUUUUUAAGAUGUCCGUCUUAGACCAUACCUGAUUCCCUUUAUUUAAUACGAUUGACAGAUUCUUCUAUUUCCCCUUGAGAUAAUAGCCUACUGUACCUCCUCUAAGGCCUGUCUAUGACAGGGAUGAUACAAUAAUGUAUAACAUGUUGUGCAAAGUGAGAUCUUUACGAUCUAAUAUAAUAUGUUAUUGUCUUAAUGCUUGAUAGUCACAACAGUAUUUGCCGAGAAAAGGGGAUUGCUAGGCGUUGUCCCCACAGUUUCAUCAGCACUAUUGCUAUUAUUGACGUACAGUGUGUCCCCGAAUAUGUCAACAUGAUAGAUAUUAUAUAUUAUAGAAACUAUUGAAAAACAUAGCUGUGAGCAGCGAUGAACGGGACUCAAAGGGUGACCGAAAGGACACAAAAUCAGUGGGACUAUCUUUCUUUAUAUGCAAUUAGUGAAAACAUGAACAUGUUUAUCUCGCAAUACCACAAGGAUGAUGCAAGUUAAGUAAGUUGAGUGCAAUAGGUUGGUGAUCUUUGAAUGCAGCAGGUAUUCAUUCUUACAGUCAGUACUUAAUGUAUUGACUUUACAUACCAAUUCUGGGGUCAAUUUGACUAAUGGUUUAUGUUAAAAUAUGUCAAAUAUUUUUAGCAUUAUCUUCACGAUAUUUGACAUUGUUCAUCUGCAUAAUUUAAAUCUAACAUUAAUUUGCAUGAGACAAGGUCCUCUUGAUAAAUAGUUAAUUCUCUAGUAUCAUAUGGUGCCACUGGUGCCAAUGCCAUCUAUAGUGCCACCAAUUGGUCUGGUGCAGCCAUCUAAGGUUGCAGUGACUUUAUAUUCACACAGCUUCUAAGGACAUACAUAAGGUUUACAUAGCAAAUGUCAUGGCUCCAUGUCCAUCAGUUCAAUUCUUAUAGCCCUGGUGUGAUAUGAUACCGUCUACAGUAAUGUUGCAGUGUGGCCAACUUUAAAUGCAGCAAGUAAUCAUUCUCAAAUUCAUUAGAGGCUAAUUGAUUGAGUCUGUAUACCAAAUCUGGAUUAAAUCAGAUGUAUUGUUCAUGAGAAGAUUUUUUAAAGUAUUUUUAGAAUAUCUGCUAACGGGCAUCUGUAGGUACAGGGCUGGCAUCUUUGAAUAUGGAAACAAUUCUUUCUCAAAACCGUUCAAGAGUGAUGAAAUGAGUCUACGUACAAAAUCUGGAGUGAAUCUGACAUAUGGUUCAUGAGGAGAAGAUGAUUGCAGAUGAUUUUGAGCAUUAGCAUUACAUAUGCAAAGAUUGAGUUGUUAAUAGUUACCUUGUUUUUGAGACAUCACUGCCAAAUGAAGUGUGGUUCAUCUUAGGGACAUCCAUGAUAGCGAUUUCCCAUUUCAAGUUGAUAGGCCCAUGUGGAAUGGAUUUUAAAUGAACACGUAAAAUCCACAUUUUGAUCUUUUGACCAAUCCCUUAGCUAUUCUCAACCUAAGUUAAGACAUGAACCAUGGGCCUACAUUCCAAAGUUGGUGUCAGUUGGUCCUAUGGUUUAUGAAAAUAUAUAUAUUUUUUAAUUGCGCAUUUUAGCAUAUUAGCAUAUGUGAUAAUAUGCAUCUACUUGUGUAGUGUGGCCAUCUUUGAAUGCAUCAAUGUUAUAUUAUCAAACACUUUAUGGAUUAUUAUGAUGAGUCCAAAGCCUACAUUUGGAUUGAAUCUGACUUUUAGUCCAUGAGAAGAAGAUUUUUUAUAAUUAUUUUUAGCAUUAGCAUUUCGUAGUCAAAAUAGUGAAUUGUUAAUAGUUUCCUAAAAAAAGUGGGUCAUUAUAGUUAUGUCUUUAAUGACCUUAAAACGUUUCAAGUUGAUAGGCCAUUGUUAAGUGGAUUUACAAAGGAUUUAAAUGGACAUGUAAAAUCAGCCAUCUCUUAACCAAUCCAUUAGCCUUCUCAAACUAAGUUAAGAGAUGUACCAUGGGCCUACAUUCAGAAUAUGUGUGUUAUUUGGACUUGUGAUUCACGAGAAUACGUUUUUCAUAGGUUUUCUAAAAUGUCCAAGGUGGUGGAAAAUAUAUCCUGAUGGACCUUAUGGGUCCUUGAGGCACAUUUAUUCAACAUGAGGAAAGACACCUACAUACAAAGUUUCAAGUCUCUAGGUCAAAUGGGGUGACAGAUAUGAGUGUUUAAGUAAGACUGCUUAUUGUACCGCCCCUAUAGGCCAAUCGGUGCCAUUAUUUUUGACCAAUUUACUCAUGGCCUCUAAAUUCUGUGUGGGGAGAGACUGGUGCCCAAAAUUGAUGACGUAUGUCGUGCAGUGAGAGUUGAGUGGGGACGGUUCAGUCAGUUCAGUCUGUCUUCUAAUGAGCACUCCCCAGGUAGCUAGUUUAUGCUUGUGGCGUGAAACUUCAAAAAGAAUUUGAAACUUGUCUGCCGAAGUUGGGACUUGGGAGAGUGUUCAGAAUUAUUAUAUAUAUUUUUUUUACAAAAAUGUAGACGUUAAUGGCGUAGUUGUACAUUUUCGGUGAAAAUUACUACAAUAAAUGUGCUUUAGCUGUCAUCCUGGCCUGAUAUUGGCUACACUAUCUAGCUACUUCCCUCUCCUUACUGCAGGACAGAAGUGCUCGGCAUUAUUCGGCAUAGCAGGAACGAAGGAGACACUGUUGUUGUGUUGUCGGCUUGCUGUGCAAACUCUCCUCACUGAGCAAUAGACUGCAUCAGGGUAACAUCCAGAUGGUUACUACCAAUAUUACAACUUACUAUCAAUAUUACAAGUUACUAUAUUACUCGGAAGUAUAAUCAAGUGGAAUGGAACAAAUUGCCCAUGUUAGCUACCGCCAGUGACGUGAUACAGCUGCCUGAUAAAGCAACUACUGCCCAGUGGGAAGCAUCUCGAUGCAACACCAUUGCACUGGUCAUUUAUACCACCAGGUUACGUUAGCUAAUUGGCAUGUCACGGUGACAGCCAGAUGGUCACCAAUUCUGCAAGUUAUUUCUCCCUCGCCCAUCGAAAUAAACAAUUGCUUUCUUUUUUGAAUAAGAGCCACGCUGCUGUUGUUGCCACUUCACUCUCAGCUGCGCGACAUACGUCAUCAAUUUGGGCACCAGGCCUGUCCCUUAGUGUGCCAAUUUAUUUAUUUUUUGUUACCAUUCUAUG